UACGGAGGGUGCAAGCGUUAAUCGGAAUUACUGGGCGUAAAGCGCACGCAGGCGGUCUGUCAAGUCGGAUGUGAAAUCCCCGGGCUCAACCUGGGAACUGCAUCCGAAACUGGCAGGCUAGAGUCUUGUAGAGGGGGGUAGAAGUCCAGGUGUAGCGGUGAAAUGCGUAGAUAUGUGGAGGAACACCAGUGGCGAAGGCGGCCUUCUGGACUGACACUCAGACGCGAGAGCUAGGGUAGCAAACGGG
rnacentral:misc_RNA from 1 species